UACGGAGGGUGCAAACGUUGCUCGGAAUCAUUGGGCGUAAAGCGCACGUAGGCGGCCUGUUAAGUCGAACGUGAAAUCCCCGGGCUCAACCCGGGAACUGCGUCCGAUACUGGCAGGCUUGAAUCCGGGAGAGGGAUGUGGAAUUCCAGGUGUAGCGGUGAAAUGCGUAGAUAUCUGGAGGAACACCGGUGGCGAAGGCGACAUCCUGGACCGGUAUUGACGCUGAGGCGCGAAAGCCAGGGGAGCAAACGGG
rnacentral:rRNA from 1 species